UAGGAUAAAUGAAAAAGGCAGCGCAGGUAAAUUGGAAGCCGAGUCUUAGAAGGAUUAAAGAUUUAUUAAGAAAUGCAUCGGGCUGAAAGCUCGCAGAAGAGGAAGUCGGAAGCCGGAUGAAGGAGCUACGAUGCUCAAACGGCGAGCAAAUGAAAAGCAACUCAAGAUAAAGUAAUCAAUGGGGUUUUUAUGCGAGAAAAUUCAAACGAGCAGCUAAAGUGAUUUACAAUGAGCUAAAAAUGAUGAUGAAGACAAAAAAGAUGGUCGGAAAACUAAGACAAGAUGUUCAACCUGUCUGAAAAUUAAUGAUUAAAAUUCGCUGGUGCUAGAACGAAGAAAGAAGUUGGAACAAAAGUUUGUGCAAAUAGCAAAGAGAUUCUUAGAACCGUUCAAGGAAUCCAUGCUUUUGCUUUAAGAGAUAUUCAACUGCAAUGAAAUUUCUGCAAAUGCAUCAGAGAUUUUGCAUGAAAACAACCAUCUGCAAAAUAAUUAAACACCCAACCAUAAGUGCAGACAACUUUAUCAGCUAAGCAACAAACAGAAAACAAUGAAAACACUCUGGCAGAUGCUCAGCAACUCAUACGAAAUGCAUUUCAAUUAAAUGCAAUAAAUUAAAUAUAUAUGUAUAUCCAGCACAUACCAUCUAGCCAUAUGCCCCAGCACCCCCUGCACCAGUAACUUGACCCCCAAAAUGUUGCAUAAUUAAUUAGCCAAGCAUGUGGCGAGAAAACAAGGUCACCAACAGAUUGCAUUUUGUAUACAAAGACAGCAAAUUAUGCAGAAAAUAAGAUGCAAGCAG
ensembl:ncRNA lncRNA:CR45435 long non-coding RNA:CR45435